UCUCUGUGUCUGUACCGCGGGCGGACGGAGCAGUGGCUGAGAGGAACGCGACGGGAAUAGCUGAACCUACGCGCUUCGAAUACCUCCGUUAAAACUUAUCCCGAAGCUAUAUUCUCCCGGAACUUUUCUCUCGUAUAUCCCCUACGAUUCGGCGUUAAUUCGAUCUCCGGUGGGGCGCAAGUUCGAGCGAAUAAUGCACGAUGAAAUAUGGCUUCGUGUUUCCCACAUUUUACCUAUCGAAGCUCAUCAGCGCGAUGACAGCCAGAGCUUCGUUCCUCUCUUGACACAGCACAUCUAUAUCUGGCGCUCGGUAAAAGAAACCCGCGCCAUGGAGCACCGGUAUCGCCGUUCCGCAGCCGUUAUCAAUCUGCGUGGGAUACGAUGACGCGUCCGUUCGAGGCUCACUAUUCCCAAACGAAGAGAGAGACAGAGAGAGCGAGAGAGAGAGAAAGGAAGCCCGAUAUUUCCCAGCGGACCGAAAACCCGAGUCCGCGAUCGAGCAAAUAUAAUUAUCCAAAAAAGCCUGGUUCCUGAAACAUUGAAACAAAGGAAGGGUCAAACACGAUUGAACGUCGACGAUUAAGGUAAAUCAUGCCCGUAGGAUCCUACUUUAUGGGUGUCUAAAUUGCGUCGAUUUUUACUUCCUCAUAAAAGAUAUCAUCACUCUAAAUUA